UCAGCCAGGUGUCCAACCCUGUUCAGCUGC
rnacentral:piRNA from 1 species